CCCCGUUCCGUUACUCUUUUGUGUGGAGGACUGCUGAAAAGAAUUUGAGGAAAAUGGGGGAAUGCGGAGUAUUUUCACGUUUAAAACCACCAAGGCAUAAUAUUGCUCAUUGUGACCUUUGACACCGAAAAGAGCACAGAGUGACCAGACGAUGUGAGAACAAUGAACGACGACACAACCACUCGGUUCAUCGCAUCCCUUGUGAAAUCUCUACAGUCCUUGUGUCAUGGAUAUGUGGAGUUUGAGAAGAACAUUGAGAUUAUCGGACACAUCUAUCUCAAUAUUGACAGCCAACAGAAAUAUGACUAUGUUGUUAAUGAACAAGUGUGCAAGAAUGACGACGAGUCCCAAGCGAUGUUUGUCAGCAAUAGCUUCCAUGCCCAGCCUCCACGGACCACUGUGAAGACUGCUAGGCAGUGCAAUGCACUUGACCUCAAAAUCCAGUCUGCCAAAGACAAUAUAGGUAUCGACCUUUCCACAUUCCAGACCGAUGUAGGUCAAGGUCGUUCCGCAUCCCGCGAAAGCUCACAAUCACUUUCUGCAGGAUCGGAAACAGGUUCAGUAUCAGGAAAUGUUCCAAAUCGUGAGCCAGGUGCAUCCCCUUCCCUCCACUGUCAAAAUCCAGAACGAUCUGUUUCGAGACGGAAACGACAUUUGCAUGACCUUUCCUCAAAGCCCUCUCCUGAUGUCUCCCCAUCUAGUCGAAUCCGAGACGGGGAGAGGCGCGACCACCAUGACAAUACUUCGUUACGUUCGCAAUAUACUCUUGGUGCUUCUGCCUCCAAGCUCGCUCGGAGGAUAAGUAAUGAACUUGAAAAGCAGGGCUUAGCUACCCCAGCUCAGAUAGACAUUGACGGUGAAAUCCAUGCUCGAUUAUCUGCUUCAAACGAGACUCGUUUUGGUCGCAAUGGCCAAGGUGCAUCUCAGAGACAGUUUUCAGAUGAUUCGUCCAAACACAUAGACUCUACAAAAGAUCCCCCGGAGAAGUCUGAGGGGCAGUCAUUUGCCGACAGUAUUGAUCUUAGCCGAGUGAAAGAGGAAGUGAUUGAAGAUGAGAGCCUGUUUGAUCAGCUUGACUGGAACCGAACCACACGUGACACAGACCAAGAGACUUAUGAUCCUCAGGCAGAGGGACACGAAGCCUCGGAAGAUCAGAUUGUGGCCGAAAACCUGGCUGCAGCAGCCUCCUCAUCCCUCUAUCCUGUCAUGAUCCACCAGAACACCGCGGGGCUGCCCAUGCCAGGCUAUGGAUCCCCCGUCUUUCCACAGAACUUCAGUGAACCCACCCACACAAUGUCCGCAAGCUCCUCCCCCAUCGCUUCCACCAGUGGCCAGCUCAGUCCCGGGGCCGUCUUUGGAGGGCGCCGGACACAACCAGGAAACUCCGGCCGAGGUUACACGGCCCAGUUCACUCCACGACCAGGCAAAGUACCCCAGGAUAUGGCCAGCAAGUUCAAUGUGGUGGUUGACCCUGAGUGGGAGGACGGCUUGAAGCUGGAGGAGGGAAUGUACUACCGAGGACAUUACCUGGAGAUGAUUCCACCCACCGGCAAGAAACGGAAGCCACAGAAGCGUUGUCGUGUUUGUUACUCUCAGGGCCGGCGGCGGAAGGAGUCGCGGUACCAGUGUGGGUCGUGUCCAGAAAAGCCUGGACUCUGUCUUGCUCCUUGCAUGCAGAUCUACCAUGACCAGCGGGACAUCCAAGUGCUGGAUGCGACCAUCCUGGGAUGAUGGAAGGUUCAUUGUUAUUAGGGGAAGAUGGUGGUGCAAGGCGGUUCCAUCCAUCCUGGGAUGAUGAUGAUGAAGCAAGGCGUUCCAUCCAUCUGGGAGGAUGGAAGGUUCAUUGUUAUUAGGGAAGAUGGUGGUGCAAAGCGGUUCCAUCCAUCCUGGGAUGAUGAUGAUGAAGCAAGGCCGUUCCAUGCAUCUGGGAGGAUGGAAGGUUCAUUGUUAUUAGGGGAAGAUGGUGGUGCAAGGCGGUUCCAUCCAUCCUGGGAUGAUGAAAGGUUCAUUGUUAUUAGGGGAAGAUGGUGGUGCAAGGCCGUUCCAUCCAUCUGGGAGGAUGAUGAUGAAGCAAGGUCCGUGCUUCUAGUAGGAGGAUGAUGAAAAGAGGCGGGUUCAUGUAUUUGGGAAGAGGAUGGUGAAGCAAGGUCCGUGCUUCUAGGAGGAGGAGGGUGAACGGAGGCAGAGAGGGUGAAAUGAGGUGGGUCCAAGCAUGGAGUAGGAGGGUGAAAGGGCAGGAGGGUCUAUGCUACUAGGAGGAGGCGGGUGAAAAGAGGCGGGUCUGUGCUUCCAGGAGGAGGGUGAGGGUCAUUUUUCUGAUUGUAGGAGGAUAAAGGGUGAAAAGAGGCUGGUCUGUGCUUCUAGGAGGAGGUGAAAUGAGGUGGGU
rnacentral:misc_RNA from 1 species